rnacentral:rRNA from 1 species
AUUGAACGCUGGCGGCAGGCCUAACACAUGCAAGUCGAGCGGAUGAAGGGAGCUUGCUCCUGGAUUCAGCGGCGGACGGGUGAGUAAUGCCUAGGAAUCUGCCUGGUAGUGGGGGAUAACGUCCGGAAACGGGCGCUAAUACCGCAUACGUCCUGAGGGAGAAAGUGGGGGAUCUUCGGACCUCACGCUAUCAGAUGAGCCUAGGUCGGAUUAGCUAGUUGGUGGGGUAAAGGCCUACCAAGGCGACGAUCCGUAACUGGUCUGAGAGGAUGAUCAGUCACACUGGAACUGAGACACGGUCCAGACUCCUACGGGAGGCAGCAGUGGGGAAUAUUGGACAAUGGGCGAAAGCCUGAUCCAGCCAUGCCGCGUGUGUGAAGAAGGUCUUCAGAUUUUAAAGCACUUUAAGUUGGGAGGAAGGGCAGUAAGUUAAUACCUUGCUGUUUUGACGUUACCAACAGAAUAAGCACCGGCUAACUUCGUG